rnacentral:sRNA from 1 species
AUUUGGCUUAUGUCACCGUGCAGACACUGAAGUUUAUGUUCUUCAGUAUUUUAUAGAACUUAAAAUCAGACACCAUGGUACCUAACCUCGGCUUUCAGGAGAUGACACCAAGAGAACAGAACUUUCAAGGGAAGGCUACAGAGCAGGAAACCCCGUUCAAGGAAGGACACAACCACUAUUGUAACCAGAGUCUAAAUGCCUCAUUUGAGUGCCGGGCACAUUUAUACAUCUGGGUGAGAUUGCAAAUUUGGUUUGGAUAUUACAAAUGCUGUGAGCUGCAUAGUUCUCCUAAGCAAGGAGAUGGUCUUCAUCCUCCUUACCACUUCCACCCUUGCCUACCCCAGGGACUUUCUGACAAGAGAUGAAAUUGCUUCUUGUGGCUAUGAAGGUCCAUUAAUGAACAUAAGUUGAAGGACCAUGGAAAGGAGUAUAUCUCUUACAUAUUCACAGAAGAUUAUGCCAAGAAGGAAUACUGUGUAUACGACCUAAAUUUCAUUGGAAGAACCUGACUGAGGAAGUGAAAAGGAAAGGAUGGAAAAUAGGAAAACAUUUGAAAAAAAGGCUGUUGACUGACUGGAGAGGAAGGAGGAGAUUGAAAAUUUAAAUUGUGCUACCUGAAACAAUGUAUUUUCAUGGAUACAAAUAUGUCUUUGCCUAUUUAAAAAAGUACUAGUUACUAUGAGGUAGGAUUUAUCCAUGUCAGUUAUGGUACAAUAUGCUUUAGGAAUUUAAUUCCUGGGGAAUUAAAUUGAAAGUUAGUGGUAUGGUUAUUUAAAAACUCAUUAAAAACAAUUUAAAGAGAUAAUUUCACACUGUAAUUGUGUACUUUUCUCCAUUUCCAUUGCUUAUAUAGAUACGUAUUACUUCUUACCAUCUUUUAAAUGAUGUUUAGUUACUUACAAUAGUUUUUCUUUAUGUGAGCAUAGUUAUAAAUACAUAUGAUAAUAUAAAAUAAUACAAAGAAUAAUGUAUUCUACCUUACUUAUCUGUUUGUAAAUACUCAUUUGUGUUUGUGUGUGUGUGUGAAUAUAUGUGUGUGUGUAUGUGUGUGUA